UUUUCGCAAACCCUAAAGCAGCGGCAACAAAUCCUACUUGAACCCGCAGCGGCGGCGGCGGCGGCUGCGACAGAGAUCUUGGCUUCUCCCUCUUCGUCUUCUUCGAACCAACGACGACAGUCUUCUCCCUCUUCGUCUUCUUCAAACCGGCAGCAACCACAGUCCACAGACUUCUCCCGCUUCGCCUUCUUCAUCGACGGCGACAAACGUCUCCUGCUUCGCCUUCUUCAUCGACGGCGACAAACUUCUCCUGCUUCGUCUUCUUCAAAUCUGUGGCGACAGCAAGCUUCUCCACCUCGGUUGGAGUCCAACCUCAAGAGGAUCUUGCUUCGGGUAAAAAAAAAGAAGGCAAACACGCAACUGUAGAGUAUCUCCAGUCGAGAAAUAUCACAAACAAGCCUCAGAGAAACUCACUUCUCACAUCCAAGAAGCCUUUGCAACUUCAUAAUGCAACGCAAGCAGAUGAAGAAGAGUCUCACUCUUUUGCUUUAGCUACACCAUCUGUAAGAACUUUGAGAGGCAAAACAACUGUAGCAACUGCCCCUAGUUUCAGAUGCAGUGAGCGUGCAGACACUUGUGGAGAGGAGGUACCAUCUCAGCUGAAGGACUCACUGUGCUAAAACUUGUGGACAAUAUCAUCAUCACCGUGUCAAUGUUGUGACAUGAAAUGCAUUUUGGAUUUUAAUUUACCUCACAAAAAUUUCAAACUGUAUCUAGAUGGUGUGACAUUUGCGGAGCCUUUGAGACCAA